GGAGAGGUGCGAGAGUGGUCGAAUCGACAUGCUUGGAAAGCAUGCGUCCCAGCAAUGGGACCGUGGGUUCAAAUCCCACCCUCUCCGCCA
rnacentral:tRNA from 3 species